rnacentral:rRNA from 1 species
AGAGUUUGAUCAUGGCUCAGAAUCAACGCUGGCGGCGCGCCUAACACAUGCAAGUCGAACGAGAAAGUGGAGCAAUCCAUGAGUACAGUGGCGUACGGGUGAGUAACACGUGGAUAACCUGCCCCUUUGUGGGGAAUACCGUUGGGAAACCGACGACAAUACCGCAUAAGCUCGAGAGAGGAAAGCAGCAAUGCGCAGAGGGAGGGGUCCGCGGUCGAUUAGCUAGUUGGUGAGGUAAUGGCUCACCAAGGCUGUGAUCGAUAGCCGGCCUGAGAGGGCACACGGCCACACUGGCACUGAAACACGGGCCAGACUCCUACGGGAGGCAGCAGUGGGGAAUCUUGCACAAUGGGGGAAACCCUGAUGCAGCGACGCCGCGUGAGCGAUGAAGCCCUUCGGGGUGUAAAGCUCUUUCGGCAGGGAAGAUUAUGACGGUACCUGCAGAAGCAGCUGCGGCUAACUACGUGCCAGCAGCCGCGGUAAUACGUAGGCAGCAAGCGUUGUUCGGAGUUACUGGGCGUAAAGGGUGCGUAGGCGGUCCUAUAAGUAUGGUGUGAAGUCUCCCGGCUUAACUGGGAGGGUGCGCUAUAGACUGUGGGACUAGAGUGUGGGAGAGGAAAGUGGAAUUCCUGGUGUAGCGGUGAAAUGCGUAGAUAUCAGGAGGAACACCGGUGGUGUAAACGGCUUUCUGGACCAUAACUGACGCUGAGGCACGAAAGCGUGGGUAGCAAACAGGAUUAGAUACCCUAGUAGUCC